AGUCAAAAGGAGGUGCUGUCAAGGCAGACAUGCAGAAAAUCCUUGAAGUUCUGUACAGGUGCAACACCAUCCAGGAGAGAAGAGACGGUGUGAUCCGUGCCCUGAUCAUAUACCCCGGCGAGAGGGUUGAAGACCUUAUCACAGAAAACAAGGAUGCUGACGACACCAUGAUCCGAGAGGACCUCGUUCAGCAUGUGAUGAAAGUGUUCACUGUGAAGGAUCUGCACCAGAAUAUAGAGCAUGGGAUCUGCAUCGAAGGAGCAGAAGUCCUGGCUGGUAUUCCCAGUGUUACAGUCAUGUACGUUGCUUAUGGGCCUCAUCUAUAGCUUAAA